CGGAAAUAAAGUAAAAAUAUAGCAAAAGAACAAUGUAUAAGUACUGAAAAAUAAAAAUAAAAAUAAAGAUAAAAAUACAGAAAAAUAAACAAAAUAAGAUAAAAAGAGUCUGUAGUGGUUCACCAAAAAAUACGCUAGGGAUGGCGACCUCCCCACACUUAAUAUAAAGCAUCGUCCUCGAUGCUCACUCAAGCUGGGUGUGAAGGAGUGUCAUCACCGGAAGGAUGGGCUGCUGGUGUCUCGGUGGUGGCCUGAGGAUCUGCAAACUGGAUGAGGGUAGGAGGAUCUGUCUGCUGCAGUGGAGGUGCUGACUGGAGAGGGAUCUCUGGGUCUGUGGCCUGAAUCUGAUGUGACUCCUCCUACUGUGGCACAGCAUGCUCCGG
rnacentral:lncRNA from 1 species